rnacentral:rRNA from 1 species
UACGGAGGUGCGAGCGUUGUCCGGAAUCACUGGGCGUAAAGGGCGCGUAGGCGGCCUGAUAAGUAGGGGGUGAAAUCCUGCGGCUUAACCGCAGGGCUGCCUUCUAAACUGUCAGGCUUGAGCACAGUAGAGGCAGGUGGAAUUCCCGGUGUAGCGGUGGAAUGCGUAGAGAUCGGGAAGAACAUCAGUGGCGAAGGCGGCCUGCUGGGCUGUUGCUGACGCUGAGGCGCGACAGACGUGGGGAGCCAAGAGGA